rnacentral:rRNA from 1 species
GAUGAACGCUGGCGGCGUGCCUAAUACAUGCAAGUCGAGCGAAUGGAUUGAGAGCUUGCUCUUAUGAAGUUAGCGGCGGACGGGUGAGUAACACGUGGGUAACCUGCCCAUAAGACUGGGAUAACUCCGGGAAACCGGGGCUAAUACCGGAUAACAUUUUGAACCGCAUGGUUCGCAACUGAAAGGCGGCUUCGGCUGUCACUUACGGAUGGACCCGCGUCGCAUUAGCUAGUUGGUGAGGUAACGGCUCACCAAGGCAACGAUGCGUCGCCGACCUGAGAGGGUGAUCGGCCACACAGGGACUGAGACACGGCCCAGACUCCUACGGGAGGCAGCAGUAGGGAAUCUUCCGCAAUGGACGAAAGUCUGACGGAGCAACGCCGCGUGAGUGAUGAAGGCUUUCGGGUCGUAAAACUCUGUUGUUAGGGAAGAACAAGUGCUAGUUGAAUAAGCUGGCACCUUGACGGUACCUAACCAGAAAGCCACGGCUAACUACGUGCCAGCCGCCGCCGUAA